GAUGAAGAACGUAGCGAAAUGCGAUAAGUAAUGUGAAUUGCAGAAUUCAGUGAAUCAUCGAAUCUUUGAACGCACCUUGCACUCCUUGGUAUUCCGAGGAGUACGCCUGUUUGAGUGUUAUGAAGCUCUCAAAACGCAAUUGGCUUAAAACCUGAUUGUUGUUUUGGAUUUGAACUUUGCCGUGUUAUAACGGCUGGUUUUAAAAGUAUUAGCUGGUACUAGAACGAAUUGGUUCUACUCAACGUGAUAAUUAUCUGAUCGUUGAGGACAUUCCUUUCACGAGGAAUGGCCAUAGUAAAUUCAAUGGACUGCUUCUAAUCUGGCUUUAAUUCUUUAUUGGAUUAACCACUUUUCAAAUCUGACCUCGAAUCAGGUGGGACUACCCGCUGAACUUAAGCAUACAAUAAGCGGAGGA
rnacentral:misc_RNA from 1 species